AACCGGAAUCUGUAAAGUCGUGGAACGAACUUGGAGUCCGGUCCCUGAACGCGACAAUUAACCUUAACCAAAGACAAAACGAUGUUGUCCCGAAAAUUCACCUGCUGAGCGAAUUUCUUUUCAGGUCCGCCGAUCCGGGCAGGUUUAGAACCCAAAAAGGGUUUUAGACGCUACCUAUUGUUACUUGAGAUGAUUUUCCGCGCAUUUUCGCUUCAGCCGCCGACCCGGGGCGGCGUGCGGCCCGCCGCGCACGCGAUGACCUGCCACGUAAAGCUGGCGUCGCGGAUCUUUCGGCGGGUCAUGACGAUCCGGUAGGUCGCCGGCGUGGCGUAGCUCUCAACCCGGGCCGGCGCGACCAGAACCUUCUCGACGACGGUGCGAUAAGCUUGGCCGCCGCCGUCGCCGGUCGGGAGACGCUUCUCUUCGAACCGGUAGACCGCCUCGAUCGUGCGGGUCUCGACGCGCGCCGGCUGGUCGAGCACCUGCUCGGCCUGAUC
rnacentral:sRNA from 1 species